rnacentral:rRNA from 1 species
CCCCCCCGUAACUUCGGGAGAAGGGGGACCAGUCCUGGUGACGACAUUUACUGUCUGAGCUGGGGUUGGUCGCAGAGACCAGAGAGAAGCGACUGUUUACUAAAAACACAGGUCCGUGCGAAGUCGUAAGACGAUGUAUACGGACUGACGCCUGCCCGGUGCUGGAAGGUUAAGAGGACCGGUCAGCCACUUCGGUGGCGAAGCUGAGAAUUUAAGCCCCAGUAAACGGCGGUGGUAACUAUAACCAUCCUAAGGUAGCGAAAUUCCUUGUCGGGUAAGUUCCGACCUGCACGAAUGGCGUAACGACUUCUCUGCUGUCUCAACCACAGACUCGGCGAAAUUGCAGUACGAGUAAAGAUGCUCGUUACGCGCGGCAGGACGAAAAGACCCCGGGACCUUCACUAUAGCUUGGUAUUGGUGUUCGGUUCGGUUUGUGUAGGAUAGGUGGGAGACUGUGAAACUCGCACGCCAGUGUGGGUGGAGUCAUUGUUGAAAUACCACUCUGACCGUAUUGGACAUCUAACCUCGGACCAUGAUCUGGUUCAGGGACAGUGCCUGGUGGGUAGUUUAACUGGGGCGGUUGCCUCCCAAAAAGUAACGGAGGCGCCCAAGGUUCCCUCAGCCUGGUUGGCAAUCAGGUGUUGAGUGUAAGUGCACAAGGGAGCUUGACUGUGAGACGUACAUGUCGAGCAGGGACGAAAGUCGGGACUAGUGAUCCGGCACCGGCAAGUGGAAGCGGUGUCGCUCAACGGAUAAAAGGUACCCCGGGGAUAACAGGCUGAUCUUCCCCAAGAGUCCAUAUCGACGGGAUGGUUUGGCACCUCGAUGUCGGCUCGUCGCAUCCUGGGGCUGGAGUAGGUCCCAAGGGUUGGGCUGUUCGCCCAUUAAAGCGGCACGCGAGCUGGGUUUAGAACGUCGUGAGACAGUUCGGUCUCUAUCCGCCGCGCGCGUAAGAAACUUGAGGAAACCUGUCCCUAGUACGAGAGGACCGGGACGGACGAACCUCUGGUGUGCCAGUUGUUCCACCAGGAGCACCGCUGGUUAGCUACGUUCGGAAGGGAUAACCGCUGAAAGCAUCUAAGCGGGAAGCCUGUUCCAAGAUGAGGUUUCUCACCACCUAGCGUGGUUAAGGCCCCCCACAGACCAUGGGGUUGAUAGGCCAGAACUGUAAGCACAGCAAUGUGUUCAGGUGACUGGUACUAAUCGGCCGAGGACUUACC